rnacentral:rRNA from 1 species
GGGGAAUAUUGGACAAUGGGCGAAAGCCUGAUCCAGCCAUGCCGCGUGAGUGAUGAAGGCCCUAGGGUUGUAAAGCUCUUUCACCGGUGAAGAUAAUGACGGUAACCGGAGAAGAAGCCCCGGCUAACUUCGUGCCAGCAGCCGCGGUAAUACGAAGGGGGCUAGCGUUGUUCGGAAUUACUGGGCGUAAAGCGCACGUAGGCGGACUAUUAAGUCAGGGGUGAAAUCCCGGGGCUCAACCCCGGAACUGCCUUUGAUACUGGUAGUCUCGAGUCCGGAAGAGGUGAGUGGAAUUCCGAGUGUAGAGGUGAAAUUCGUAGAUAUUCGGAGGAACACCAGUGGCGAAGGCGGCUCACUGGUCCGGUACUGACGCUGAGGUGCGAAAGCGUGGGGAGCAAAC